rnacentral:rRNA from 1 species
GAUGAACGCUGGCGGCGUGCCUAAUACAUGCAAGUCGAGCGAACAGACGAGGAGCUUGCUCCUCUUACGUUAGCGGCGGACGGGUGAGUAACGCGUGGAUAACCUACCUAUAAGACUGGGAUAACUUCGGGAAACCAGAGCUAAUACCGCAUAAUAUAUUGAACCGCAUGGUUCAAUAGUGAAAGACGGUUUUGCUGUCACUAAUAGCUGAAUCCGUGUCGUAUUAGCUAGUUGGUAAGGUAACGCCGUACCAAGGCAACGAUGCGUAGCCGACCUGAGAGGGUGAUCGGCCACACUGGAACUGAGACACGGUCCAGACUCCUAAGGGAGGCAGCAGUAGGGAAUCUUGGGCAAUGGGCGAAAGCCUGACGGAGCAAGGCCGCGUGAGUGAUGAAGGUCUUCGGAUUGUAAAACCCUGUUAUUAGGAAAGAAAAACUGUGUAAUUAAAUCUGCAUGUCUUGACGGUACCUAAUCAGAAAGCAACGGCUAACUACGUG